rnacentral:rRNA from 1 species
GACGAACGCUGGCGGCGUGCCUAAUACAUGCAAGUCGAACGCAGUGGGGACGGGUGAGUAACACGUGGGUAACCUCCCAUCAGAGGGGAUAACACUUGGAAACAGGUGCUAAACCGCUACUGAUGGAUGGACCCGCGGUGCAUUAGCAUGUUGGUGAGGUAACGGCUCACAAAGGCCACGAUGCAUAGCAGGCCGGUAUGGAUGUUCGGCCACACUGGGACUAAGGCACGUCCAAGACUCGUACGGAAGGCAGCAGUAGGGAUUGUUCGGCAAUGGGCGAAAAUCUGACCGAGCAAAGCCGCGUGAGUGAAGAAGGUUUUCGGGUCAUAAAACUCUGUUAUUAGAGAAGCGGUAUCUAACCAGAAAGCCACGGCUAACUACGUGCCAGCAACCGCGGUAAUAC